UUUCCGUAGGUGAACCUGCGGAAGGAUCAUUAGAAAGUACCGGCCCCCCCGGGGGCCUUACCUUCAAACCACUGUGAAACCACCCGUUGCUUCGCGGCAGGGCGCCCCCCGGGGCGCCUCCGUCAGUCCGCAGAAGCCCAACACAAAAACCACUUUGUAACAGUCUGUCUGAACAACAUGAAUUAAAAUUCGUUAAAACUUUCAACAACGGAUCUCUUGGUUCUCGCAUCGAUGAAGAACGCAGC
rnacentral:misc_RNA from 1 species